rnacentral:rRNA from 1 species
UACGGGAGGCAGCAGGGGGAAUCUUGCGCAAUGGGCGAAAGCCUGACGCAGCCAUGCCGCGUGAAUGAUGAAGGUCUUAGGAUUGUAAAAUUCUUUCACCGGGGACGAUAAUGACGGUACCCGGAGAAGAAGCCCCGGCUAACUUCGUGCCAGCAGCCGCGGUAAUACGAAGGGGCUAGCGUUGCUCGGAAUUACUGGGCGUAAAGGGCGCGUAGGCGGAUCGUUAAGUCAGAGGUGAAAUCCCAGGGCUCAACCCUGGAACUGCCUUUUGAUACUGGCGAUCUUGAGUAUGAGAGAGGUAUGUGGAACUCCGAGUGUAGAGGUGAAAUUCGUAGAUAUUCGGAAGAACACCAGUGGCGAAGGCGACAUACUGGCUCAUUACUGACGCUGAGGCGCGAAAGCGUGGGGAGCAAACAGGGAUUAGAUACC